rnacentral:rRNA from 1 species
CAGCCGCCGCGGGAAUACAGAGGGUGCGAGCGUUAAUCGGAUUUACUGGGCGUAAAGCGUGCGUAGGCGGCUAAUUGAGUCGGAUGUGAAAUCCCCGAGCUUAACUUGGGAAUUGCAUUAGAUACUGGUUAGCUAGAGUGUGGGAGAGGAUGGUAGAAUUCCAGGUGUAGCGGUGAAAUGCGUAGAGAUCUGGAGGAAUACCGAUGGCGAAGGCAGCCAUCUGGCCUAACACUGACGCUGAGGUACGAAAGCAUGGGGAGCAAACAGGAUUAGAUACCCGAGUAGUCCCUGUCUCUUAUAC